AGUGAACGCUGGCGGUAGGCCUAACACAUGCAAGUCGAACGGCAGCACAGUAAGAGCUUGCUCUUACGGGUGGCGAGUGGCGGACGGGUGAGGAAUACAUCGGAAUCUACUUUUUCGUGGGGGAUAACGUAGGGAAACUUACGCUAAUACCGCAUACGACCUACGGGUGAAAGCAGGGGAUCUUCGGACCUUGCGCGAUUGAAUGAGACGAUGUCGGAUUAGCUAGUUGGCGGGGUAAAGGCCCACCAAGGCUACGAUCCGUAACUGGUCUGAGAGGAUGAUCAGCCACACAGGAGCUGAGACACGGGCCAGACUCCUACGGGGGGCAGCAGUGGGGAAUAUUGGACAAUAGGCGCAAGCCUGAUCCAGUCGUACAGGGUGAGUGAAGAAGGCCUUCCGGUUGUAAAGCCCUUUUGUUGGGAAAGAAAAGCAGCAGGUUAAUACCCCGCUGUUCUGACGUUACCCAAAGAAUAAGCACCGGCUAACUUCGUG
rnacentral:rRNA from 1 species